rnacentral:tRNA from 1 species
GGGAAUGGAUGGGCCCUGGUGGACCCCGGGGACUUCAAAUCCCUAUGUCGGUUGUUUAAUCGGCCGAGGUGGGUUCGAUUCCCACACAUUCCCGCCA